UACGUAGGGUGCAAGCGUUAAUCGGAAUUACUGGGCGUAAAGCGUGCGCAGGCGGCUUUGCAAGACAGAUGUGAAAUCCCCGGGCUUAACCUGGGAACUGCAUUUGUGACUGCAUGGCUAGAGUGCGGCAGAGGGGAUGGAAUUCCGCGUGUAGCAGUGAAAUGCGCAGAUAUCAGGAGGAACACCCGGUGGCGAAGGCGGCCUUCUGGACAGUGACUGACGCUGAGACGCGAAAGCGUGGGGAGCAAACAGG
rnacentral:rRNA from 1 species